rnacentral:rRNA from 1 species
AUCUUGAGAGCGGCGUACGGGUGCGGAACACGUGUGCAACCUGCCUUUAUCUGGGGGAUAGCCUUUCGAAAGGAAGAUUAAUACCCCAUAAUAUGUUGGAUGGCAUCAUUCGACAUUGAAAACUCCGGUGGAUAGAGAUGGGCACGCGCAAGAUUAGAUAGUUGGUGAGGUAACGGCUCACCAAGUCUGCGAUCUUUAGGGGGCCUGAGAGGGUGAUCCCCCACACUGGUACUGAGACACGGACCAG